GUCGAACGGUAACAGGAAGAGCUUGCUUCUUUGCUGACGAGUGGCGGACGGGUGAGUAAUGUCUGGGAAACUGCCUGAUGGAGGGGGAUAACUACUGGAAACGGUAGCUAAUACCGCAUAACGUCGCAAGACCAAAGAGGGGGACCUUCGGGCCUCUUGCCAUCGGAUGUGCCCAGAUGGGAUUAGCUGUAGGUGGGGUAACGGCUCACCUAGGCGACGAUCCCUAGCUGGUCUGAGAGGAUGACCAGCCACACUGGAACUGAGACACGGUCCAGACUCCUACGGGAGGCAGCAGUGGGGAAUAUUGCACAAUGGGCGCAAGCCUGAUGCAGCCAUGCCGCGUGUAUGAAGAAGGCCUUCGGGUUGUAAAGUACUUUCAGCGGGGAGGAAGGGAGUAAAGUUAAUACCUUUGCUCAUUGACGUUACCCGCAGAAGAAGCACCGGCUAACUCCGUGCCAGCAGCCGCGGUAAUACGGAGGGUGCAAGCGUUAAUCGGAAUUACUGGGCGUAAAGCGCACGCAGGCGGUUUGUUAAGUCAGAUGUGAAAUCCCCGGGCUCAACCUGGGAACUGCAUCUGAUACUGGCAAGCUUGAGUCUCGUAGAGGGGGGUAGAAUUCCAGGUGUAGCGGUGAAAUGCGUAGAGAUCUGGAGGAAUACCCGGUGGCGAAGGCGGCCCCCUGGAC
rnacentral:rRNA from 1 species